UACGGGGGGGGCAAGCGUUGUUCGGAAUUACUGGGCGUAAAGGGCUCGUAGGCGGCCAACUAAGUCAGACGUGAAAUCCCCAGGCUCAACCUGGGAACUGCGUCUGAUACUGUCGGGCUAGAGUCCGGAAGAGGCGAGUGGAAUUCCCGGUGUAGCGGUGAAAUGCGCAGAUAUCGGGAGGAACACCAAUGGCGAAGGCAGCUCGCUGGGACGGUACUGACGCUGAGACGCGAAAGCGUGGGGAGCAAACAGG
rnacentral:rRNA from 1 species